rnacentral:rRNA from 1 species
GACGAACGCUGGCGGCGUGCCUAAUACAUGCAAGUAGAAGCUAGUUGCGAACGGGUGAGUAACGCGGAGGAACCUGCCUCAUAGCGGGGGAUAACUACGCGAAAGAGUAGCUAAUACCGCAUACUAUUAGAGCGGCCGAUAUCGGAUUAGCUAGUUGGUGGGGUAAAGGCCCACCAGGGCUCCGAUCCGUAGCUGGUUUGAGAGGACGACCAGCAACACGGGGACUGAUAAACGGCCCAGACUCCUACGGGAGGCAGCAGUGGGGAAUGGUCGGCAAUGGGGGAAACCCUGAUCCAGCAAUCCCGCGUGUGCGAUGAAGGCCUUCGGGUCGUAAAGCACUUUUGUCAGGAAAGCGGUACCUGCAGAAUAAGCACCGGCUAACUACGUGCCAGCCGCCGCGGUAAUUC